rnacentral:misc_RNA from 1 species
UACCCUUGACAUGUCCGGAAUCCUGCAGAGAUGCAGGAGUGCCCGAAAGGGAGCCGGAACACAGGUGCUGCAUGGCUGUCGUCAGCUCGUGUCGUGAGAUGUUGGGUUAAGUCCCGCAACGAGCGCAACCCUUGCCAUUAGUUGCUACAUUCAGUUGGGCACUCUAAUGAGACUGCCGGUGACAAACCGGAGGAAGGUGGGGAUGACGUAUCGGCAUUAGCCA